rnacentral:rRNA from 1 species
UACUCUUAGCGGUGGACGACUUGGUUCAUGCAUUGAUGAAGAACACAGCUAGCUGCGAGAAUUAAUGUGAAUUCCAGGACACCUUGAUCAUUGACACUUCGAAUACACUUGCAGCUCUGAGACU